rnacentral:rRNA from 1 species
GUGCACCAGGCGCGAAACCUCCGCAAUGCGCGAAAGCGCGACGGGGUUACCCCGAGUGCCGUCCGCUGAGGACGGCUUUUGCCCAGUGUAGCCAAGCUGGGCGAAUAAGGAGAGGGCAAGUCUGGUGUCAGCCGCCGCGGUAAUACCAGCUCUCCGAGUGGUGGGGACGCUUAUUGGGCCUAAAGCAUCCGUAGCCGGUCUGGCAAGUCCCUUGUUAAAUCCAACGAUUCAAUCGUUGGACUGCAAGGGAUACUGCCAGACUAGGGGGCGGGAGAGGCCGACGGUAUUCCCGGGGUAGGGGUGAAAUCCUAUAAUCCCGGGAGGACCACCAGUGGCGAAGGCUGUCGGCUAGAACGCGCCCGACGGUGAGGGAUGAAAGCUGGGGGAGCGAACCGGAUUAGAUA